AGAGUUUGAUCCUGGCUCAGGAUGAACGCUGGCGGCGUGCUUUAUGCAUGCAAGUCGAACGCUUUGAUAURACCGCAAGGAAGURUCAGAGAGUGGCGAACGGCUGAAUAACACGUAAGUAACCURYCCUAUAAGUGGGGAAUAACUCAYCGAAAGGUGAGCUAAUACCGCAUAAUGUGGUUCUCRUAAUGGRGGAUCACCAAAGGAAUGAGCAAUCAUUUCGCUGAAGGAGGGGCUUGCGRCCUAUCAGGUAGUUGGUGAGGUAACGGCCCACCAAGCCWWAGACGGGUAGCUGGUCUGAGAGGACGACCAGCCAGACAGGGACUGAGACACGGCCCUGACUCCUACGGGAGGCAGCAGCAAGGAAUUUUGCGCAAUGGGCGAAAGCCUGACGCAGCGACGCCGCGUGAGGGAAGAAGGCCUUCGGGUCGUAAACCUCUUUUCUCGGGGAAGAAUAAUGACGGUACCCGGGGAAUAAGCCACGGCUAACUACGUGCCAGCAGCCGCGGUAAUACGUAGGUGGCGAGCGUUAUCCGGAUUUAUUGGGCGUAAAGAGGACGCGGGCGGUUUCUUAAGUCUGGUGUGAAAUCUCUCGGCUUAACUGAGAGGGGUCACCAGAUACUGGGAGACUUGAGGGCAGCAGGGGGARAUGGAAUUCCCGGUGUAGCGGUGAAAUGCGUUGAUAUCGGGAGGAACACCAGUGGCGAAGGCGGUYUCCUGGGCUGUCCCUGACGCUGAGGUCCGAAAGCGUGGGGAGCAAACCGGAUUAGAUACCCUGGUAGUCC
rnacentral:rRNA from 1 species